ACUAUUGGAAAUAGAUUCCUAGGCUCUUUCAUCAAUGAAGAACGUAGUGAAAUGUGAUACUUGGUGUGAAUUGCAAAGUCAUGUGAACCAUCGAGUAUUUGAACGCAAGUUGCACUCGAUGCCAUUAAGUUGAGGCCAUGUCUGCCUGAGUGUCACAUAUCAAAGCCCAUUAUCGAUUUCCUAGUCGUAGAUACUGUUCUUGGUGAAGGAUGAUUUACCGUGAGCUUUUUUGUCUAAUGGUUGGUUGAAAAUUGAGACCAUGGUACAGGGUGCCAUGAUAGGUGGUGGUUGAGUAAUGCACUAGACCAAUCAUGUGAUGCCCUAUUAAAGUUUGGCCUUUUGUACCCAUAUAUGUGUCCAAACGCUUGUGAUGAAACCUCAGGUCAAACAGGGCUACCCACUAAUUUAAGUAUAUCAAUAAGCGAAGGAAAAUAAACCAACAAGGAUUCCCUUAGUGACUGUGAGCGAAUUGAGAUAAGCUCAUCAUGAGAAUCGGUCGCUUACAAUGUUCAAAUUGUAGGAUGGAGAAACAUCCUCAGUGGAGGAUCGGGCCCAAGUCCCCUAGAAGGGAGCGUCAGAGAGGUUGAGAGCCCCGUUGUGCUCGGACCCUAUCGCACCAUAAGGCGUUGUCCACGAGUUGGGUUGUUUUGGAAUGCAGCCCCAAUCGAGCAAUAAGUUCCAUCCAAGGAUAAAUAUUGGCGUCAUAUUGAUAGCGAACUAGUACUGCGAGGGAAAUGUGAAAAGGAAUUUGAAAAGAUAGUCAAAGAAUGUUUGAAAUUAUUGGGAGGGAGCAGAUGAGGGCCGAAGUUUUGUCUCGAUCGAAUGUGGAAUGGUUUAUGUCGGUUCUCCAAUCGAUUUGGGAUACGACCGACACGAAUUGUGAUGGUGGCCUAGUUCUGGGUUGUUAAAAUGCUCGUGGAGACGCCAUCAUCACGAUUGUGGACGGCCGCACGCACCAAUUUAGUGUGCUUCAACACUUGCGCACUCUUGCCAUUGGCUUGUGGGAUCCCUAUUCGACCCGUCUUGAAACACGAACCAAAGAGUCUGACAUGUGGGCGAGUCAAUGGGAGAGUAAACCUGUAAGGCACAAUGAAGCUGAAUGGUGGGAUCCUCUUAUGGGUUGCACCGCCAACCAACUUCUGUGAAGGGUUCGAAUGAGAGCAUACCAAUCGGGGACCGCAGGUGAAGGGUUCGAAUGAGAGCAUACAUAUGGUGAACUAUGCCUAAGCAGGUCAAAGCUAGAGGAAACUCUGGUGAAGGCCUGCAACGAUAUUUACGUGCAAACCGUUCACCUGAAAUGGGUAUAGAGGCGAAAGACUAAUCCAAUCGUCCAAUAGUUGGUUCCUUCUGAAGUUAUCAUGGGCACAACACCUUUAACCUAUUCUUAAACUUUAAAUAGGUAGGACGGUGUGGCUGCUAUAUUGAGACAUGCCAUGAAAUUGAGAGCUCCAAGUUGGCAAUUUUUGGUAAGCAGAACUGGCGAUGCACGAUGAACCGAAAGUUGGGUUACGGUGCCCAAUUACGUGCUAACUUAAACCCCACAAAUGGUGUUAGACGAUUAACACAACAGGAUGGAGAUCCUGGAAGUCGAAAUAUGCUAAUGUGUGUGUAAAAACUCACAUGUUGAAUCAACUAACCCAAAAAAAUGGAUGGUGCUAAAGCCUGCGAUCUAUACCCGACUAUUCAGGAAAGGGCCAAGCCCCGAUGAGUAUGAGGGUGUUGUGGUCGCUUCCAAACCCGAAGUGCAAGCCUGGGCGCUGCGAUCGUUGGUGCAGAUCUUGGUGGUAGUAUCAAAUAUUAAAAUGAGAACUUUAAAGGCCGAAGAGGGGAAAGGUUCCAUGUGAACUGCACUUGCGCAUGAGUUAGUUGAACCUAGGGGACAAGAAAAAUCAGUCUAAUAACGCUCUAAGCACAGACACCAAAAAGGAAUCAUAUUAAAAUUCCUAAAUUAGGUUGUGGUGGCUGACGACAACGGUAGGGAAUCCGGAGACGUUGGCCGGAUCCCUCGAAAAAGUUAUCUUUUGUGUUUAAUCGUCUGCCUACUCUGGAAAGGGCUCAACCAGAGGUAAGGUCCAACAGCUGGAAGAGCACUGCAGGUUGCAUGGUGUUUGGUGAGCCUAGGUGAACAACAUAUAGCCGAUGGAACAGUGUAUGGAAGGGAAGUCGACAAAAUGGAUAUGUAACCUCGAAAAAAGGAUUGGCUAUGCGGGUUGGGAAGAGGGAUCCUAGUUAUGAACUUGGGGUUGUUGGUGGACUGCUUGAGCUGCUCCCACGGUGAGAGCAGGUUUCCGCAUGGUGAUCGAGGAUGGAUUGGGAACAGGCCCUUCAGGGCCUCUUCCCAUGGGAUCGAACAAUCAACUCAUAACUGGUACUGAUAAGGGGAAUCCAAUUAUUUAAUUAAAAAUUAAAAGGCAUUAUGAUUGUCCAUGGAGAGGUUGACGCAAUGUGAUUUCUGCCUAGUGCUUUGAAUGUCAAAGUGAAGAAGUUCAACUAAGCGCAAGUAAAUGGCGCGAGUAACUAUGACUCUCUUAAAGUAGUCAAAUGUUGUCAUCUAAUUAUUGAUGUGCAUGAAUGGAUUAACGAGAUUUCCAUUGGCCGUGUCUACUCUUCAUCGAUACCAUAACCAAGGGAAUGGGAUUGGUGAAAUGAACGAGGAAAGAAAACCCUGUUGAGCUUGAAUCUAGUCUGACUUUGUGAAAUGACUUGAAAGGUGUAGGAUAAGUGGGAGCUGGAAACAACGGAAGUGAAAUACCACUACUUUUAACGUUAUUUUACUUAUUUCGUGAAUCGAAGGUGGGGCGGUGCCCCCUUUUUUUGGAUCCAAGGCUGACUUCGAUUGACCAAUUUGGGUGGAAGACAUUGGCAGGUGAGGAGUUUUGUUGGGGCGACACAUCUGUUAAAAGAUAACGCGGGUGUCCUAAGAUGAGCUCAACGAGAAUAGAAAUCUCAUGUGGAAUAAAAUGGUAAAAGCUCGUUUGAUUAUGAUUUCCAAUACGAAUAUGAACCGUGAAAGUGUGGCCUAUCAUAGCGAAGUUGCUUUUUUAUCCUUCAUUGUUGGCUCUUCCUAUCAUUGUGAAGCAUAAUUCACCAAAUGUUGGAUUAUUCACCCACCAAUAAGGAACGUGAGCUGGGUUUAGACCAUCGUGAAAUAUGAUAGGUUUAUCAUACUAAUGACAGUGUCACAAUAGUAAUUCAACCUAGUACGAGAUGAAUCGUUGAUUCGCACAAUUUGCAUCACGCUUGGUUGAAAAGCCAGUGGUGCAAAGCUACUAUGCAUUGAACUAUGGUUGAACGCCUAUAAGUUAGAAUACGAACUAGAAGCGAUGCAUGUGCCCGUCGUUCACUUGC
rnacentral:rRNA from 1 species